UUUUUGGGAUGUGCUCGUGCGCGUUGCUGGCUGAAUGUGUGCUGCUAAUGGGAAUAAUUCUUGGAUUGAUUUCACUUUUGUUCGCCCAGCUUAAAAGUUCACAUCUUGCUUUAUUCUUCGGUAAAUCCAGUGCCAAAAAAAUUCUACAACCAGUCGGUUUAUUCAUAGGCAAUCUUAGAAAACGAUUUUAAUUAAUUAGUUAAAGUAAUAAACAACAUAGUUACAGUAUUUAGAUAGUGUUUAGAAAUUGUAUGUGAAAUAAUUACAUGCAUAUAUGUAAGUAUGUAUGUGUCAGAAUGUAUAUAUGCAUACAUUCGAUUAAGGAUGCUAACUAAAGGACCAUCAGUAGCGGACAAGAGUGACAGUCACUUAAAAUAUUCAUCUCGGCCAAAAAAUGGAAUUGUCUCGCCAACAUUUUUUACAACUUUUGACGUGGACUAACCCAGCAACAGUACCUCGCUGAUCUAAAUUAAAUUUUUGGCGAUAAAGCUUCAUCAAGGGUCAGUGUUUAUGGAUGGUAGGGAAGGUCGUUCAAAAUCAGUUCUUAUUACCGAUACUAAUGAUGCUGUCCGCAAACUGUUAUAGCAAGAUCGUCAUGUGACCUACCGUGGGAUUGAAACAACUAUAGCCAUUAGUCGCACUCAUUCAAUAUUGCUUAAUAUUAUAUACAUAUAUUAUUUCUCACACAGUUUGUCAAUCGCCCAAAAAAAGGAUCGUGUCGAUUGGUCGAGAAAAAUGUAAAAAAUACGACAAUGGUGCCUCGAAACAUGUCUAAAACAUCGUGACAGAUGAUGAAUUAUGGAUUUAUACGAAUGAGCCCGAAAGUAAACAGCAGUCGACAGUUUGAAUGUUUCAAAAUUAGCCGAAUCUAACAAAAGCUGUUCGUCUACGCAGUAGUUUUGGAAAAACUGAACAUGUCGCAACCGUACCACUAAAGCAACGCAGAAAGGAAAUACUUAGUGUUACUAACUAUUUGUUUGCCAGUUGACUUUCAAGAAAUCAGAAAAACCGACCGAAGACGGAUCACUCUUACCACGACAAUUCGGGCUUUCAUCGACUGAAACAACUGCAUUUUUAAGCACUUCACACAUCGAUUUUAUGAGCAAACCACCGUAAAGUCUUGACUUGGCACUGAAUAACUUCUUUUUAUUCCCGUACGUAAAAGAUAAACUAAGAGCUCAACGUUUUUUCAACACAAGAAAAGGCGGUUGAUGUGUUCAGAACGCAUGUUUUGGAGAUACCUCAAUCAGAGUUGCAAAAGUGCUUUGAAAAUUGGUUCAAACGCAUGCAAAAGUGUAUAGAUCUUAACGGUGAAUAUUUUGAAAAACAGUAAAGCAAUUUUCGAUGACUAAUAUUUGAUUUGGUUUUCUAAUCCGGAAAUAUAAAAGGCAAUUUACGUAUGUAUACAAAUAUGUGCAUAUUUCUGCUGUGAGUAUGUCACUGAACAGCUCCUAAACGGCUUUGGGUUGGAUUCGAUUUUUGUACAAUCAUUUUGUUUAUUCCUGGGCAUUUUCAGUUAAAAACUUUUAAAAUGUGGGCACGGCCUCGUCCCCAAAUAAGGUAAAUGUAAAUUUGUAUGCGAGGACACAGGACACCGUCUGUGAGGUCUGCUAGGAUAACCAAACCUGUUGAAAGCUGAAAUAUAUAUGUAUGUAUCUACAUGCAAAAAAAAAUAUAAGUAAAUAUGAUGUUUCGAAGAGCAAUGCAUUUGUUGAAUCUUAAAUUAAAUGAGCUUAUCCUUCGAGGUAAUACGCGGUUUGAAUGAAAAAUAAAGAGCUUUUCAUGACGGCUGUCUUUUUCGGAUAAUUAGUAUAGUACAAUAUAUAUUAUUCGAACAGGACAAUGCUACAAUUUUCUUUUCGAUCUAUGCUUAUUAACAUUACGAUGGUUAUGUGUAGGACGCUUAUUUAAUACCAUAUUAAAUAAAAGGAAGAACAUUUUCAUAACAAAUCAAGAAAACGUUAACUUCGGUUGCACCGAAACUAUAAUACCCUUUACAGAGGAAAAAAUACUGUGGAAGCAAAAGCUUGGCUUGAUGACGAAUUUAUGGAUACUACCCCAGGAAAAACAACCAUAUUGGAUUGCCCUAUUCUGAAAAAACCUUGUUUGUUUCUUGUGAGGCAUAUUUUGUGAGGCUAUUCUUGCUCAAACCUCAGAAGAAAAAAGCUUAAAAAAGUCACCACGUGAGGAUGAAUUCUUAGACGUUAUCUACUGGGCGAGACAGAUUUUUGGCAUUCUUUUAGGCAUAGUAUGGGGCAUUGUGCCAUUAAAAGGCUUCCUGGGA